AAGGUCCAACCUCACAUGUCC
rnacentral:miRNA from 5 species